AUCCAGAAACUACUUAAAACUGAAAAUACAUGGAGAAGAUAAAGUCUCCCUUAUUCCCCUUCUCCAUGAAUCGUGUUUAUUAAAAUUAAACCAUCUCCUUUAACUCCCCCCACCAUUUUCUUCUGAUUUUCUUUUUCUUAGAUUUAGAUGUUUUACUCCAUCAAUUUCAUCACAUAUCACUUCAUAUUUCUUCAAAACCCCUGAUAUUUGAAGAAACAUGAAUCAAAUCUGAUUCAAAAUCCAACUCGUAGAGAGAGAGCGAUUGGAAUUGUUUUUUCUGUUUUCAACAUUAAGAUUAUCGUGAUUUUGAUAUAAUUUUGUCAUAAUUGUUUUGACUAUGUAUUAUGCUCUGCUCGAUACUCCUUCAACAAUAAUUUUGGCAUAAUUGUUUUGAUUUCUCAUUAUGCUGGUGCUUGAUGAUAAAAGGGUUAGGUUUUUGUACUCGAUUGAUGUUUGUUCCUUGCAUACCUCUGUAAUUUAAGCUUAUGUGAAUAGGAUGACGAUUUUGGCUAAUUCUAUUUCAUAAAGUCCCUAUGUUAGCAACGCAAGAGUGAACUACUGAUAUUUUACAGUUGGGGUUAAUGAAUUGAUGUUAGUGGAUAAAACUGACAUUAUUUUAGAAUAUCUCAAAAACUCUGGGAUUACUGAAAUCUCAUAGGGUGGAUAAAACUUUCUCAACCUAUUCGGAUUACUGAAAUCUGUGUUGAACUAUUUUUGGUGGAUAUUAGGUCCAGGGAUUUAUGCGGAUGAUGACGAUGAGGCUAAUGAUAAGGAGGGUGGUGGGCUGAGCAAAUCCGGGAAGGAGUUAAAAAAGUUGUUAGGACGUUCAGCUGAAAUGAAUGAUUCAGAUGCACGAUUACGAUGUAAGCUCAUGUAAUUUCACUUUAGAGUACCUAUAUUUCACUUAACCUGCCUGCGUUCUUUUCUGUCAAGAUGUUUGUUCCUUUGUAUUUCCAGAGACCCAUUUCCAAAAGUAUUUUUCGGUAGAUCUUCUUGGUUGAAGUGUUUCGCAGUGUUGACUACUUAUCAUGGUGUAGUUUCUCUUAAGUAGUUUUUGCAGAUUGCUGCAAGAUGAGGGAAUCCACCGCUGUUGUUGAGGUAGGAUGUAACUUCAAGGAUGUCGGAUGGUGCAUAAGGAACAAAUAUCUAUUCUUGCUGGACAGACUGCGAAAGGAGGUAUAAAUUUAUGGAUAAUGUUUAAAGAAAUAGAAACAGUAUAGAUUAUGAAUGAUUGGGGAGGUUCAAAACCUCUUGUGGUUGAAGGGAUACGAUAUUCUAUAGAAGAAAGAAAAGCUCCAUGAUUACGAGUUACAGGUGAUCGCAGUGUAUGUAACCAGGUGAUGAGUACUGUGCUGGUGGUGUUAACUGUGGAUUUUGUUUUUGGCUUAUUUAUAUGUCGUUGAGUUAGAUUCUUCUUUGGUGCAGUCUGAGGGAUUUUAUGAAAGCUCAGCAAGAUAUAGAAGAACAAUGGGAAAAUUGGGUCUAGUAUUCAUAAGAUUUACUGACAAUGUGAAGAUGGUUAUUGUCUAAGAAUAUGAAAUAAUCAAGUGGCUUGGGUGUUGGAUUUUUUAAAGGCCGGCAUCCUUUACUAGAAGAUGUAGAUUUUAUGAUCAAUCCUUCAAAAGUUUCAUCUCUUGUUGAAGAUAUAUCGUCUGAUGAACAAAAGAAGCUUGGGCAUCUGGAUGUUAAAUAUGUUUUGAUUUUUUUUCUUCUGUUGGUUGAAUUUGAGAUUUCUGGUUUCUGAAGUUGUAAGCAUUGGUUAUAAUUGAAUUUAAGUUAAUUUUAAUAAAAGGUUUGAAUUUAUUAAUAAAA